rnacentral:sRNA from 1 species
CUCCGGGACCUGUUGGGAAGAGCUCAAAGGGAGAGAGCUGCAACUGAAACAGGAGCGGCUGCCGCUGUGGUGGAGACCUCGCCAAGGACUUAAUUUGCACUUAUCAGAGAUCGGAGUGUGAUUCUCUUCCUCCUUCAAGCAGAUUGCUAAGUGCUACAGUGUCAUAUUUUAUCAGCCACUUUCUAAAAGGAAUGAAGCCACUUAGGACGCUGACAUCCUGAACUGCUCCUUCGAGGCUCCGUUCUUCCGUGGGUAGUGAUUAUGCAAUAAACGUUCCUCGAAGAGGCUCAGUUGUUUGAACAAUGGGGUUGGCUUAACCUCGUUCAUACAGAGAUAAAAGAAGUAGGUGGUAAAGGAUGACCAGCACGAAGGAGAAGGAAACUAUCAAUCAUUGAAUGCUUAUAAUGUGAAAGGCCACCUUGAUGGAUUUCUUAGAAAUGACUUUCACUUCUCCUAAAAGCAUGUAAGGUGACCCAGAGACGUACUUCUCUCUGCAAAUUUAUAAAGCCAUUGGAGUAUCCAGCACAGGACACCUCAUAGAGAAUAGGAGAUAACAAACAACUAUUUGCUCUAGUCAAUGGGAGGCAUAGUCUCAGGAAAUCCCCAGGAGGAAGACUUGGACAUGAGCAAUAACGAAGACAUGACAUAAUCUUCACAUGAUUGGGACGACAAUACCUUCUACUAGUCAAAUAUAUAUAUAUUUUUAUUGAUUUUUAUUGAAGCGCCAUGCAUGGCAAAAUGUCCUUUUCAUGGAGCAGUUGGUGAUGGGCAACCAGAGAAAACGACACAUGCAAGACCGAGUUGGCAAUGAGCGGCAGAAGUGAGAAACAGUGCAUGCGUAUUUGGAAUGGCCAGCAGACUUUACAAUCUGUUGCGCUGGAAUUUUAGGGACUUACCACAGACAGUGUUUGUUAUUGCAGAGAGUUUUUGUUUCCCAGGAGGAAGGAAGAUCAACCAAAAGAAAUACAACAGUAAAAAGUACACAGAUGAUACAGCAAAACAAAAUCCUGGACUAUAAACCACAAAUGGCCCGAUGGAUUUGCUUGGGAAUAGCUGGCGAGAUCUCCUAUCUAAUGCCUCCAUUCUAAGGAUGUUUACUGAAAGAGAACAUUGAGUAAUGCUUGCACUGGCCCUUCAGCAAAGUCCCCCUAUUAGCAACCACCGCCGCAACUCUUUGCGGUUUGUUAGCCGUCUAUUAUUUCUUAUUGGCAUGUUUGGCUUUUUGUUUUCUCAAAUUGGCUUGCCUGUGGAAUGUGUGUCAAGAGGCAGGACUUAUUUACUCAUUGAGAAAUUGACCACUAGUGAGGCACUGAGCAUGCCCCAAGGGAAGAAGGAUAGAAGGGCCACGUGCUCAACCACCCAUUGCAUAGAACAACUGCUUUGGGUGAUGAACCAUUUUGCUCCCAACAUCAGAGUGGAGACCACAAGGCAGGCAGAUUGGCAUCUCAGGCCAAUUUGUGUGUGCAUGCUGUUCAGUUUACUCUCCAGCUAAGAUCUUCAGUGAGUUCCACAGAUUCCUUCCUCACAGUCAGAUAUGUAAAAAAUUCUUAUCUCUCCCUUGAGGGAAUGGUCUCUAAGAAUGUUUUCAAAACACGUGUGUUCUUUACUUCAACCACAAUAGAGAUGGUUAAGCUAAGGUUUAAAUAAUGCUUACUCUGACACUUAGCCUACUUUUUAACUUAGUAAUUACAUUCUUGUAGGCUUCCUGGUACAGCAAUCCUAGUGGGGCACGAUGAAAUAAAUAGCACUAUUUCAGGAAAACACUGUUUUAUAGCAGGACUUAGGAGCGUUUCUCUUUCUGGUCCACGUCGUAUGGCUUUGAUAAGUGUGAUACUGAAAUCUGGAGGACACAUUGACACUCCUGUGAUGAAUGGUAGCCACUCUCAGGCUGAAUUUUUUUCACUGGCUCUUCAUCAAAGUCACAGCAGUGGUGAUAAUAACAAGAAAUAAACAUCGUAGAUGAGAAGAACACUGAAAAAUUAGGUAGAAAACUCAUUUUCUGAAAUCAAUUUACUAUUGAACCCUAUGUAUUAUGUUAUUGUACAACCAUUGUAAUAAUGAUUGAUCCUUACUUUAUGGUUCUAAUACCAGCUGGAUCAGUCAACAUUUUGCAUGCAUUUUAACAUUUUGUUCAUAUUACAACCAUUUGAAUUAGUAUUAAUGCUAAUCUAAUUAAUUUAUUUCAAAAAGACAUUUACAGAGUAGAUAUAUUUAAUUGAGCUCGUCUAAUUUAGUGCUGGCAAGUGAGGGAUCACAGUUGUU